AGUUUUGUGUUAUUUUUGGCACAGCUUAUCCCGAAGGGCAUUUUGGACUUUUGCUAGAGAAAAAUUGUCAUCAGGAACUAUUUACAGGAGAUUUGAAUAUGGAGAGAGGGACUUUUUUACACGAUCAAAAAUUAGAGAGGAUCAAGAUUGAAGCAGUGGAAAGCGAAGAAAAGUGGAGAGCCUUCAAGAGCGUACGCGAUUGAAGAUCAACGGAAUUUCGAACUUUUUGUAAUGUCUCAAUUUUAUCUUGUAUCUGAUUUGAAUAAUAUGAGAGGUUAAACCCCUCAAUGCCAGGGGUGUCCCUGAAUUGAUCAUGUAAUGACUCUGAUGUUAGAUUUUCCUUAAUAUAUGUUAUUU
rnacentral:lncRNA from 1 species